CAAAACAAAAACAGUGACAGUAGCUCUGACUUAUUUUUUUUUUCACUGAAAUUUUCAUUACUACCGUAAAAAAGAUACAUCGGUGAAAUACUGAAGCCGGCGGAAAACGUAGAAAUCUCCGGAAACUAAGCCCAAACACGGGAAGCUAUAACCCAAACAGCGGGUCUUGUUCAAACUACCGAAACAUCACCUAAACUCUUACAUUCCCUCAAAAACCCAAAAGUUAAACAACAAUGGAUAACAGAACAAAGACUUAAUUGUCUAUGACUAGCCGGAGAUCUUACUACGAACUGAGCAAGCGAGCACGCAAAGUUUGUUAAGGAGAGCAGAACCUCAUCUGAACCUCCUGUUCAAGAUGACAACACCAAACCACAGAAACCUCAUCUGAACCUCCUGUCCCAGAUGACAACACCAGAGCACAAAGACCUCAUUUGAACCACUUGUUCACGAUGACAACAACCAAACCACAACUCUAUAGGCCAAACAUAAAACCAGGGGGAACCACACCUGUGAAAUUCCAUCUUCAAUCGCCCCUUCAUCUGGACACCUCCACACUUCGACCUCAUUUUAUUGCUUCACUAGUUGAAGCCACCGAGGAAGAACAACCAAAGGCAAACCAGGAACAACACUUAUUCAAAGGGCGAGAAUAUGAUACCUUUAAAACACGGCAGGUGAAGAGAUGAACUGAACUUGUCUUCAUCUCAAACCCCUAAAACCUUCAACUGCUCCUCACAACAACACCACCUCACUGCUUCACCGUUGCAGAAUCAAAGACCAACCAAGACCAACUCUAAAAUCCAAGACAGAUUAACCGGGUUCAACCCCUAACAAAGAAUUGCAACACUACCCAAAACCGAUUGUAGACACAACCGCCACAUCACAACAGAGACACCAAGGCUCAGACUUUUACCUCGCUAGGAGACGCAAAUGGAGGCCGGAGAAGGGACCAACCCUUAACCACCACCGACAAACACCACUCUACGCACCCAGAACUACAAGAGGUUCACAGAUCUGAGAAACCAAAAGCUCUAAUAGAGUAUAUUCAGCACACGGGCAAAUGGAGCAGCUCUAAAAGAAAGAGGAGAAGAGAUCUAAGAAGGGAAAGGGAGACAAUACAGCUUUCAGGAUUAGAUCCGGCGACCGCGAGGGAUGGCGGCCGCCGAGCUAGGGUUCUAACACGAGAGCGUUUCUACUUGCAGUAGCUCUGACUUAUUAUCUGGUAAAAAAUGUUUAAGGUUAAUUUGUGUAUUAGCUCAGUAAUUUUAAUACAGAAUUAGCAAACCGAAAUUUUAGAAAAUGGAGCCAACCCAAAUUACUUAUAAGUCAAGUUACAAUUAUAAAGAAAUGAGUUAAAAAGUGUAUGGAGAUGGUAGAAAUGGAUCCUCAAUUAACAAAGAGGUAAGGUAAUGGAGAAAAAUAUUUCAUUGCAUCAAAAUUCAAUAGAUACAAAGUCAGCUCUUUGGACUUCCGUAAUCGUAGCGAUUAAGUAGUCAACCAAAUAGGAAAAGAAAAC
rnacentral:lncRNA from 1 species